rnacentral:rRNA from 1 species
UACGUAGGGGGCAAGCGUUGUCCGGAUUUAUUGGGCGUAAAGAGCGUGUAGGCGGCCAGGUAGGUCUGGUGUGAAAACUCGAGGCUUAACCUCGAGAUGUCAUCGGAAACCAUCUGGCUAGAGUCCGGAAGAGGAGAGUGGAAUUCCUGGUGUAGCGGUGAAAUGCGCAGAUAUCAGGAAGAACACCUAUGGCGAAGGCAGCUCUCCGGGACGGUACUGACGCUGAGACGCGAAAGCGUGGGGAGCGAACAGG